UGUAAUAAAUUGCCACUGACGAAAUAGUCAGUCUUAUUCUGUUCUCCAAACAGCACAGUGCUUUUAUUUGGUCAUGCACCAGUACCGCAGCAAGCUGAGGCUAGGCGGCCCAUAUGUAACCCAGCUACUCUAGGCGAUACUGGGGCUGCUGAGGGUGAACCUCGUGGAUCGGUGCAUGGACGACGAUUAAUUACCGAAAUUGUGCGAUCUCGUCCCAGUGGUCUGCUUACUAAAAUGGGUACUACAGGCAAACCAAUCAAAUUACUUCAAAUUUCCCAAUUGGUCGCUUUAUCAGUACCGUGUUGAUUUCUCGCCCGAUGUUGAUAAUACAUUCCUACGUCAGUCGUUCAGGAGAGAAUAUAAGCAUUAAAAUAAGGAGCGUAGGUAUUGUUGAGGCAAUGGAUCCUCAGCAGUUACAAGUUCUUCUUAACUUGAUUUUGCGUCGUGCUAUGGAAGGCCUGCAACUUCAAAUAGUGUCUCGCAAUUAUUUCGACCCGCAAUAA